GGGAAACGUGACAGGGCAUGCAGCAAGGACAGCUCCUGGGACGAUGAAAAGAGCCAGGCUUCUCUUUCACCUGUUAGGGGACUCUCCUCACACGGCCAUCAGAGGGAAGUUGGUCUUUAAAAAGAGAUGAAGGAAAAACAAGGACACAACCACAAACAAAUGAGAAAGAAAACCUCUAAGGUCGCAUAACUGAGGUAUUGGUAGCUCUGGAUCUUGUCAGUGUCUGUGACACGGGGUCCCGGCCGCUGCUGCCUACUUGUUCUUGCCCAGGAGUGCAUCCACCUCUUCCUCGGGCUUGAGCGAGUGCCACUGGGCGAUGGGCCUCCGGGGGUUGGCCAGCAUGUCAGACCAGUGCCGCAGCUCCGUGCCCGUGGCAUUGCUGCCCACGAAGAUCUUCCCGAUGGCUUCGUUCUUGCCCAGCUUAUCGUAGUCCAGCACGGUGACCACUACCUGGACUUUCUGCGGGGAGACAAAGGAGGGCGGAGUCGGCGGGUGGAAACGCCAGGACCAAACCCCCCCUCCUCCUCCGUCCUCUACUCCAAACGCUCCGCAAGGAGGUGCCUCCCAGAGCCGCCGGAUUCCAGCUAUGAACGUAACUUCCGAGACUGAACUCAAAUGGAGGCAAAGGCUGCCCUCUUUGGAAGAGCCUUUCCAACGUUCGGCACUUACUGAGCACGGACUGCGCUCCAGCCAGGGUUGGGUGCCUGGAAGUGCAGGGCGGUGAGGACGAGGGAAGGGGUGUACUUCACCUUAACCAAAGCUGCGGACACAUACUCAGAAGUUCACAACGCAAAGGGAUGGAGGUUAUGCUAGAGAGGUCUCUCCACUCCUCAAUGGGCUGGCCAAGGUCCACGGUGUUCAUAGGCACCUUCACCUCACCAAUGAUGUCAUGUUUGGAGAAGCGGUCAAAGUCAUAGAUGGCCAUCACCAGAGUUUUGCCUCCUAGCUCCUGAAGGAAGACUUUGACAUAAGGGUCUGAGGUUCCUCCCAUGUCCAGGGCAGGCAAUUCAGCAGCCUGCAGAACACCGACGGCAAGACUUACCAGAAGUGCAGUCCAGGCAUUCAGGAGCACGGUGAGUCCACAAAGAUUCUCUGCCUGUCUCUGUCACAUUCCUGCUGUCAUCGACCCUGCCUCAAAUCCACAUCAACAUCUCUGGAAAACAGAGGGAAAGAGGUUGAAAGAGAAGCUGCCCAUAAUUUUACCAUGCAGAGAUAACUCAGGACAACCCAGAGGAAGAGGCCUGAAGCAGAAAAAGGAGCAGGACCAGGGAAACCGAAGUAAUGGGAUGGAAAUAGGUUAACCAGCAAGAUGCCUCUCAACAAAGCCAGCAGGCUAAAAAGAUGAAUGCCUAAGGGCUGAGAUCAGCAAAUCCCAGGCCACAGAGAGGAGGCCAGGACUGAGUCCUCACUCUGCCACUCCAUUGCUGUGUGUAACCCUGGGCGGUCCGCUAGUCUCCCGAGCAUCUGCGGCACAUCCUUAAACAAAUUAAACCCUGGACUGUGAGAGCUGAGGGCACCUGGCAUGACAUUGCGCCCAAACCCCUAAUCUGAACAAUGAGGAAACAGCGCCCAAAGGGACGUGAGUUAUCUCAUGUCACUCAAGUAAUGUGGCAAGUGGGGACAGAGCAGCCUGAGCUGUCCAGUCCCUGACUCCCUGCUCUUUGUGCCCAUCCCCCGCUCCCCCCCAGCAAGCCCACGGGUUCCAGUUCAUCCUUGGUUAAUGACAGCCGGGUGCAGGGGGUGCAGGGGUGGAGGGCAGGGAUGCCCCCAUCAGGCCAGGUCCCUGGGCCCCACUUCCCUCUACCAUGCCAGCCAGGACCCUAGCCGGGCCUAGGACAGGGGAGCCCCGCAUGGAGGGGAGAGGAGCUGGAGUCCAGACUUUCCGCAGGGAGCGAAGACUACCGCAGCUCACUCCAGCAGAGGGAAAGCUGCUGAGUCACCUCCCGCCACGCCGCCGCCGCCGCCGCCGCCGCCGCCGCCGCCGCCGCCGCCACCACCACCAGCCCAGAGCAGCCUGAGGGGGCCCUCCAGCGCAGGGUCCCUCUACCCCUAGACCUGCUGCGUUCCCUGCUCCUCCUCCCAAGACUCAGAGUCCUGGGCCUUUGCCCAGAGCCCCCACUGCCCAGCACCCGACAAAGUGUCCCAAACCCACAGGCAGCUCUUCUGGGGCGGAGGAGAGGUCUUCCAGGGGGUGGGUGUCAGGAUACUUGGGGACAAGCUGGGAAGGGUGGGGGAUCCUCGAUGAGUGAC